UGUGUGUUAGUGGAAGCGUCUGGAAAGGCGCGCGAUACAGGGUGACAGCCCCGUACACAAAAAUGCACAUGCUGUGAGCUCGAUGAGUAGGGCGGGACACGUGGUAUCCUGUCUGAAUAUGGGGGGACCAUCCUCCAAGGCUAAAUACUCCUGACUGACCGAUAGUGAACCAGUACCGUGAGGGAAAGGCGAAAAGAACCCCGGCGAGGGGAGUGAAAAAGAACCUGAAACCGUGUACGUACAAGCAGUGGGAGCACGCUUCGGCGUGUGACUGCGUACCUUUUGUAUAAUGGGUCAGCGACUUAUAUUCUGUAGCAAGGUUAACCGAAUAGGGGAGCCGAAGGGAAACCGAGUCUUAACUGGGCGUUAAGUUGCAGGGUAUAGACCCGAAACCCGGUGAUCUAGCCAUGGGCAGGUUGAAGGUUGGGUAACACUAACUGGAGGACCGAACCGACUAAUGUUGAAAAAUUAGCGGAUGACUUGUGGCUGGGGGUGAAAGGCCAAUCAAACCGGGAGAUAGCUGGUUCUCCCCGAAAGCUAUUUAGGUAGCGCCUCGUGAACUCAUCUCCGGGGGUAGAGCACUGUUUCGGCAAGGGGGUCAUCCCGACUUACCAACCCGAUGCAAACUGCGAAUACCGGAGAAUGUUAUCACGGGAGACACACGGCGGGUGCUAACGUCCGUCGUGAAGAGGGAAACAACCCAGACCGCCAGCUAAGGUCCCAAAGUCAUGGUUAAGUGGGAAACGAUGUGGGAAGGCCCAGACAGCCAGGAUGUUGGCUUAGAAGCAGCCAUCAUUUAAAGAAAGCGUAAUAGCUCACUGGUCGAGUCGGCCUGCGCGGAAGAUGUAACGGGGCUAAACCAUGCACCGAAGCUGCGGCAGCGACGCUGAUGCGUUGUUGGGUAGGGGAGCGUUCUGUAAGCCUGCGNNNNNNNNNNUAAUAGCUCACUGGUCGAGUCGGCCUGCGCGGAAGAUGUAACGGGGCUAAACCAUGCACCGAAGCUGCGGCAGCGACACUAUGUGUUGUUGGGUAGGGGAGCGUUCUGUAAGCCUGUGAAGGUGUGCUGUGAGGCAUGCUGGAGGUAUCAGAAGUGCGAAUGCUGACAUAAGUAACGAUAAAGCGGGUGAAAAGCCCGCUCGCCGGAAGACCAAGGGUUCCUGUCCAACGUUAAUCGGGGCAGGGUGAGUCGACCCCUAAGGCGAGGCCGAAAGGCGUAGUCGAUGGGAAACAGGUUAAUAUUCCUGUACUUGGUGUUACUGCGAAGGGGGGACGGAGAAGGCUAUGUUGGCCGGGCGACGGUUGUCCCGGUUUAAGCGUGUAGGCUGGUUUUCCAGGCAAAUCCGGAAAAUCAAGGCUGAGGCGUGAUGACGAGGCACUACGGUGCUGAAGCAACAAAUGCCCUGCUUCCAGGAAAAGCCUCUAAGCAUCAGGUAACAUCAAAUCGUACCCCAAACCGACACAGGUGGUCAGGUAGAGAAUACCAAGGCGCUUGAGAGAACUCGGGUGAAGGAACUAGGCAAAAUGGUGCCGUAACUUCGGGAGAAGGCACGCUGAUAUGUAGGUGAGGUCCCUCGCGGAUGGAGCUGAAAUCAGUCGAAGAUACCAGCUGGCUGCAACUGUUUAUUAAAAACACAGCACUGUGCAAACACGAAAGUGGACGUAUACGGUGUGACGCCUGCCCGGUGCCGGAAGGUUAAUUGAUGGGGUCAGCGCAAGCGAAGCUCUUGAUCGAAGCCCCGGUAAACGGCGGCCGUAACUAUAACGGUCCUAAGGUAGCGAAAUUCCUUGUCGGGUAAGUUCCGACCUGCACGAAUGGCGUAAUGAUGGCCAGGCUGUCUCCACCCGAGACUCAGUGAAAUUGAACUCGCUGUGAAGAUGCAGUGUACCCGCGGCAAGACGGAAAGACCCCGUGAACCUUUACUAUAGCUUGACACUGAACAUUGAGCCUUGAUGUGUAGGAUAGGUGGGAGGCUUUGAAGUGUGGACGCCAGUCUGCAUGGAGCCGACCUUGAAAUACCACCCUUUAAUGUUUGAUGUUCUAACGUUGACCCGUAAUCCGGGUUGCGGACAGUGUCUGGUGGGUAGUUUGACUGGGGCGGUCUCCUCCUAAAGAGUAACGGAGGAGCACGAAGGUUGGCUAAUCCUGGUCGGACAUCAGGAGGUUAGUGCAAUGGCAUAAGCCAGCUUGACUGCGAGCGUGACGGCGCGAGCAGGUGCGAAAGCAGGUCAUAGUGAUCCGGUGGUUCUGAAUGGAAGGGCCAUCGCUCAACGGAUAAAAGGUACUCCGGGGAUAACAGGCUGAUACCGCCCAAGAGUUCAUAUCGACGGCGGUGUUUGGCACCUCGAUGUCGGCUCAUCACAUCCUGGGGCUGAAGUAGGUCCCAAGGGUAUGGCUGUUCGCCAUUUAAAGUGGUACGCGAGCUGGGUUUAGAACGUCGUGAGACAGUUCGGUCCCUAUCUGCCGUGGGCGCUGGAGAACUGAGGGGGGCUGCUCCUAGUACGAGAGGACCGGAGUGGACGCAUCACUGGUGUUCGGGUUGUCAUGCCAAUGGCACUGCCCGGUAGCUAAAUGCGGAAGAGAUAAGUGCUGAAAGCAUCUAAGCACGAAACUUGCCCCGAGAUGAGUUCUCCCUGACUCCUUGAGAGUCCUGAAGGAACGUUGAAGACGACGACGUUGAUAGGCCGGGUGUGUAAGCGCAGCGAUGCGUUGAGCUAACCGGUACUAAUGAACCGUGAGGCUUAACCUU
rnacentral:rRNA from 1 species